rnacentral:rRNA from 1 species
UAAGGAAUAUUGGUCAAUGGAGGAAACUCUGAACCAGCCAUCCCGCGUGUAGGAAGAAGGCCCUCUGGGUUGUAAACUACUUUUAUCUGGGAAGAAAAGCCUGUAUUUAUGCGGGUCUGACGGUACCAGAGGAAUAAGCACCGGCUAACUCCGUGCCAGCAGCCGCGGUAAUACGGAGGGUGCAAGCGUUAUCCGGAAUUACUGGGUUUAAAGGGUGCGUAGGCGGCGCUGUAAGUCAGGGGUGAAAGGU